GGGGUCGACCCUCCCCAAGCCUGUUGAACCCUCUCUUAACCAUCCGUAUUGUUCUCGUUUUGUGCCUGGAUCACAGGAAAGGGAAUUUUCCCUUGUGGUGCUAGUUUAUGUGUGAAUAAGGAGAAUGAUCAUCUGAUCAGUGCGCGGGAUUCGGCCGUGGAAAGGGAUGGAGUUUCUACUCCUCCUGUAGUACUGCAGUAUAGGAUUGGGGGAUUAGUAGAAGACCCUUUGGUCUGUAGUAGUAAUAGUAGAGAUUCUACGCAUAAUGUCGAUUUUACUGGUGAGAAAGGUCGACUAGAAGGUGAUGGAGUUGACCUGGGUCUGUCAGAUGAUCUUGACAUGGUGGUAAAGUGUAAUAUGGACAGUACUGCUACUGUUCAUAUAUACUCAGUUCAGACAGAUAAUGAAAUGGAGAAGGACCUGGUUUCUAAAAUAGAGAAUGUGCCUCUGUAUGCUGGAGUAGGGGUUGAGAGGAAGGUAAUUAGGGCUCCUGUUUCUAUGUCAGAGAAGGAUGAGAUGGUGGAAUAUUAUGGCAGAGAUGAGUUACAGAGAAGAGGUGGUUGUAGUACCCCAGAUGUGGAAUCCAAUAAAAUUAGGAAUGCUAUUAUGCAGGUUCAGGGGUUUCCCCCAGGUGAUGGGAAUACAGUUCAGGAAGGAAACAAAUUGAUUAUGGUUCAUGUGGGUUAUUUAUCAGAAGCUGUUCCUACUAAAGCCAGUGUGUGUUUUGAUGAGAAGGGAGAGGGAUCUUCUGAUCGUCUAUCAGAACAUAAUAGAAGAAUUAGGUAUUAUGAUCAAGGAUUCCCUCCUUUGGAGAAGUUACUUCCCCAGAACAAAAUGAGGUUGGGUCAAGGAGAUUCUGGAAGUAAGAGAAAAGGAGAUAUACUAUGCCCAACUUUAGGAAAAAUGGAUGGAGUAUCUGUUCCUGUGUCUAACUUUUUUGUAGAUAAAGUAGAGAUGAUUCCCUCUCGGGAAAUUCCAAACAUACCCUCAGGCCCAGGGUACUUUGGGCAUUCCAUAGUCCCUACCCCCUUUAUUAAUGGGCAUGUGGUCAGGAAGAGACCUUAUGGGAAGGCAUAUUCUCUUUUGAGAAACGACUCUGAGGAGGUGGCUGAGGACUUUUUUGGCCAACUAUGGGUUAUCCCUUCCACUGGCCGUGAAUAUAAAAAGCCUCCCCUCCUCCUCCCCCACCGAACCCUAAUACUUUUCCUUCCCUCUUCUGGAUCAAGAAGGAUCUCUUCAGAUCCAGGAAAUUUUCCAGAGAGGAUUGCUUCCCUGUGGAGUUCCCUGGUCGAUUUGACCCUAUCCCCACCUCAUUUAGGGUAGCUGUGGAAGGGAUCGGGCAAGGAUCCUUGUCCUUUGCUGAAGUGGUCAAGGGGAAGAUGGAGAUCGGCCGACCACAGCAAAGACCCCCUCGUCGGCAACCUCCCAAGAAGUCUGUUCCUGUGCAAGGAGGGCAGGUUCCCAAUCGGCCUCCUCCCCCUGGUGAUGUGAAGACCCAAUCCACAAACAAGGGGGGAGGAGGAGGGAGUGCUGGAUCUGGAGGGAGACAGAUCCCUGUACCUGCUCCUGCUCCUGCUGCAGUUCCUCAGAUCCCUGUUGUUCAACCUGUGGAUCCCAGGUAUAAAGAGAUGAUCUGUUUCAACUGUAGUUGGCCAGGGCACUAUGUGGGGAACUGCAUUGAGGCCAAAAAAUGUUUCAUAUGUGCUGGUGGGCAUAAUGUUAAUAAUUGUGCUGCCUGGGCCAAACCCCAACCCACUGCCACUUAUUUUGGUAGUGCUGCUGCUGGUUUAGGAUUUUAUCAUAUUGAUAUUCCAGUUGCUACUGAAUCAAGCUCGUUGAAUUACAAAAAUUGUGCUAUGCUUAAGGUGAUCAAAGGAGAGGUUUCUACCUCAGAGCUGUUGACUCAGUUAAAUGGUAUAUUCUGCAAGAACAAAGAAUGGCCAUGGCAGAUCAGGGAAUUAGAGGAGAAGAAGUUUCUUUUAAGAUUCCCUCCUUGGAAAAAUGUUAAUGAUUUGAUUGAGUUCCCUGCUUUUGAGCUGCCCAUAGAUGGAGUGUCUGUAAAAAUCUGUGAAUGGCAAGGUAUGUUAGAUCCAUUUGGAGAGUUGACAGAGGCUUGGGUACAAAUAGAAGGGAUUCCCCCCAAGUGGUGUGCAUGGAAGGUGUUUGCUCAAGUGGCUGCCUGCUUUGGGAUUCUGGUAGAUGUUGAUUGGAAUGGGAUAUUCAAAAGUUUCUAUGAGGUGGUAAGGAUCAAAGUAGCCUGUAGAGAUCCCAAGAAAAUCCCUUUUGAGAGAUUAGUGGAGAUGAAAAAGAAGCUGUACAUCCUGUUUUUUACUGUAGAAGGUUUUGAUCAGAUUGGGGAAGAGACUGAUGGUGAUGAUGUAGACCCUGAUGAGGAUAAUCAAGAGAUUGAGGAUGAGGAACCGAAAAAGAGAGAUAAUGGAGAUGAUCUGGAAGAUGAAGGGGAUGAGGAAGCUAUUGAUGAGAUUGACAAAGCUAACUUCUCUUCCAAGCAUAUGGAAACUGGGAGCAGUAGCAAAAAUCAGAUGAUGGCUGUUUCUGCAGCAGAUAUCCACCCUCACAGUCUGAUGGAUGAAGUUCAUGAGGAGUUUGUGGAUGAAGUCAAAGAUAAAACUACAGAAGAUAAAAGGUGGGAUAUGGUGACUGAUGGGGAAAAGGAAAUGGAGUUGGAAAUGGAAUCUCGCAAAAGUAACAUGAUGAUGGAUAUGUCAGCUCACCUGGAUUACUGUUCUGAGCAGUUGCAGAAAAUAGAGAUGUUGGAAUCUAAUGAAGAAGAGGAAGGGGUCCUACCUUAGAUGCAGUGCUUGCCUAAGGAAAUGACUACUAUAUUGGGAUCAACUAAAAGGUCUCUGCUGGACACACUUGAAAAAGAGGCCGGAUUGAAGAAAAAGAACAACUCUACCAAGGAAGGGAAAUGGGGUCGUGUUCUCAACAAUAAACCAAACACUAGGGGGCAUGGAGGGAUUAAAAUCAUGGACAAAGCUGCUGCUUACAUGCUGAAAAAGAAUUUGGAGGUGCCCAAGACUUUUAAAAGUAAAACUUUUGCUACUUUAUCUCCAAGAACUUUAAUUGCUGAUAUUAAUAAAGUAGAUAUAUGCAUUGGUAAGCAUGAGGAUGACCAGUCUGAUAUUAUUCUUGAGAUGAUGAAUGAGGAAAGAAUUAAAAGUAUGCAAUUUGCAGAAAGUAACAUUGAAAUUGUUGUCCCUGAAACUUUGGAUUUGGGUGAAAAAUUAGAGAUUAACGUCGAGGGACAGAAUUCACUUACCACAUCAGAUGGCACUGCUGAUGUAGAAUUGAAUAGUCCUAAAAUUAGAACCAAAAUUAAGCCUUGUGGCUUGUCCCGUCCUUUUAAGAUCAAAUGAUUGGGGCCUUUUGGAAUUUUCGUGGUCUAGGUAAACCUAGGAAAAUUCAGUGCCUGUGUGAUUUUUUGAGAAAUAAUAAAAUUCAUUUUGUGGGUUUCUUUGAAACCAAAAAAGAGCUGAUUGAUGUAAACAUCCUUAAUAAAAUUGCUGGUAAUAGAGAGUAUGCUUGGCACUCAUUGCCUGCAGUUAACAUAGCAGGGGGGAUCCUUGUGGGUCUUAAUAAGAAUCUUUUUGAUAUCAUUGGUUUUAUAGAUAAAUUUUGUUGUUGUAUUACUACUGUUAAGGACAAGAAAGAUGGCUUUAUUUGGCAGUUUGUGGCAGUUUAUGGUACAACAUACAUGGAGCUGAAGUUGGAAUUUAUAGCCGAGCUCCUGUUAUAUGUGGGGGUGAUUUUAAUCUGGUUAGGUCUAUGGCUGAUAAGAAUAAUGGGGUGGUUAACCAUCAGUUAGUUUAUUUGUUUAAUGACUGGAUUAAUAAGUGGGCCUUAAUGGAGAUUAAUGUGGCAAAUAGGUGUUAUACUUGGAAUAAUAAUCAGGAAGAUCCUAUUUUUGCAGCUAUUGACAGGGUGUUGAUUUCUGCCACCUGGGAUGGUCAUUUCCCCAUGUUUGUACUUUCUGCCUUACCAAGAGUAGGUAGUGACCACACUCCUCUCAUUCUAGAUACUGGGGGGAGGAGAGUUACCUCUCCUAAACCUUUUAGGUUUGAGAAGAGGUGGAUUAACCAACCUGGGUUCAAAGAGUUAGUGACAGGUAUUUGGAAUACCCCUGUUCAGGGGAGGAAUCCAAUAGAUAGAUGGAUGUACAAAGUUAGAAUCGUGCGUAAAAAGAUUAAAGGCUGGAGUAUUAAUAUGGAGGCUAGUUUUAAGAAGAAGAAGAGAGAGCUUUUGCUCGAAUAUGAUAUCUUAGAUGUGUUUUCGGAAAAGAACCAGUUAAGUGCAGGAGACAGAGAUAGACUUAAUGCUAUCAAAGCUGAACUGUAUCUUAUCUGGAAACAGGAGGAAACAACCUUGUGGCAGAGAGCGAGGGAUCGGAAUAUUAUAGAUGGGGACCGAAACAAUGCAUAUUUUCAUGCAGUGGUUAAUCAUAGACAUCGUAAGAAUCAUCUUUCGGUGCUGGUUGGAGAUAAUGGCCCAGUUCAUUCUACUAAAGGGAUGUUAGAUGUAGCGACCUCUUUUUAUAAAAAGCUUUUUAGCUUCGAACCAAAACGUAACAUUAAUCUGGGGGCUUCCUUUUGGGAGGAGGAAGAUCUGGUCACUGAGGAGGAAAAUGCUUCACUGCCAUUUUUGGCAGUUAUGCCAACGGUGCCCCGGGCCCAGAUGGGUUUUCUUUUCUGUUUUAUCAGACUUUCUGGGAGGUGAUUAAACAAGAUUUUAUGGAGUUAGUUAAAGAUUUUGAGAGGGGUGAUCUGGACAUUCAUAGGCUUAGUUUUGCUUUGAUUGUCCUCAUCCCCAAAGAGCAGGAUGCUCGGGAUAUGAAAAAGUUUAGACCUAUUAGUCUAAGUAAUUGUUGUGUUAAGAUUUUCUCUAAAGCUAUGGCCAAUAGAUUGGCCCCUAUUGGACAUAGACUUAUCUCUCCCAAUCAAACUGCGUUUAUCAAAGGCAGAUAUAUUUUGGAGAGUGUGGUGAUGGCCCAUGAAGUGAUCCAUGAAGUUCAGAAAUCUGGGUCUCAGGGCCUGGUUCUUAAGCUAGAUUAUGAAAAAGCUUAUGAUAGAGUUAAUUGGGAGUUUCUUUUUGAUAUGCUGCAAUCCAGGGGCUUUGGGAAUAGAUGGAUUUCCUGGAUCAAAAGCAUUAUGAGCAAUAGCACUUUUAGUGUUAAAGUUAAUGAUACUGUGGGUCCCCAUUUCCUGGGGGGGAGGGCUUAAGCAGGGGGAUCCCUCCUCCCCAAUGCUUUUUAAUCUAGUGGCUGAUGUUUUUACCAAUAUGUUACAAAAAGCUGCUGAUCAGAAUUUAAUUGCGGGGCUUCUGCCUCAUAUUAUACUUGGGGGUGAUUAGUUUACAAUAUGCAGACGAUACUAUUAUCUUUUUAGAGAAUUCUGCAAAUAAAGCUAGACACUUUAAAUGGCUGCUGGCUUGCUUUGAGAACCUUUCAGGCCUAAAAAUCAACUUCCACAAGAGUGAUCUUAUGACCAUUAAUGUGGAAGAAACCCUUGCUAAGGAUUUUGCUCAAAUUUGUUGUUGCAAGCUUGGGAAAUAUCCCAUUAAAUAUCUUGGAGUUCCUCUUCAUUAUGAUAAUCUUAGGAGGGAGGAUAUCCAACCUAUAAUUGAUAGGAUCAUUAAAAACCUAUCUGGUUGGAUGGGGAGAUUUGUGACCUAUAUAGGGAAAAUUGUUUUGUUGUGUGCCUGCAUUAUUAGCAUUCCUGCUUAUCUCAUGUCUAUGAUUAAAUUUCCUCAAUGGGCUAUUAAUUCCAUUAAUACCCAGAUGGCUCAUUUCUUCUGGGGGGAUCUUAAUGAUCAACACAAGUAUCAUUUAGCUAAGUGGUGACAGAUUACUAGGAAGAAAGAAUAUGGGGGUUUAGGUAUUCCUAAUCUGAAAGAGUUCAACAUGGCACUAUUAGCCUCUUGGGGGAAACGUUUUCUUGAUGAUUCCGAGAGAGAUUGGAAAAAGAUUAUCAAAUAUAAAUAUAUGCAAAAUUCCAACAACAUCUUGUGGUGUGGAAAUAAUAAUGGUUCUUCCUUCUGGAAGAGUAUUACCUGGGCCCUUAGUGGAGCAAAAGUGUUUUAUAGGUGGAAUUUAGGGAAUGGUGAAUCUAUUAGAUUUGGGGAAGAUGUGUGGGCUGGGGAAUGUUCCCUUAGAACACAAUUUUGGCCCCUGUAUGAUAUCUGUAAUCAGAUUGACUGUACAGUUGCCCAGGUAUGGGAUGGUCAUACACUUAGGUUGUCAUUCAGACGUUGUGUUGAUCAGGCAGGACCCUCUCUGGAACCAGCUGUUAGAAGUGGUUAAACAGGAGAGGUUGUCUGAUAACCCUGAUAAGCCUAUUUGGAGACUUGAACCAAAAGGUGCAUACACAGUUAAGUCUUUUUAUCACCAGAUUAACUUUGGGGGUGUGGUUUCUACCACAGGGAUGAGCUUGUGGAAAGUGAUUUGCCCUCAGAAAAUUCAUGUUUUUCUGUGGCUGUGUGUUCAUAAUAAGGUUUUAACGAGAGACAAUUUGGAAAAACGUAGACCUGUUGAAAAUACUUCUUGCCUUUUCUGUAGCUGUAAAUAAACUGUGCAACAUCUUUUAUUUGAUUGUAUUGUUGCUAGACAGGUGUGGGGUUUCCUUAUGGAGACGCUUAAUAUCAAAGAUAUCCUAGGUUUUGAUGAUGUUGUUGUAUUGUGGAAGGAUCCUAAAAAGAAUUGUGUGCUUAACAUGAUUAUUGCUGCCUCCCUUUGGAGUGUCUGGAAACUUAGAAACAAAAUGUGCUUUCAGGGGCGUAUUUGGAGAAAUUUCAAUUGCAUUCUUGCAAAGCUGGGGGUUCAUCUCGAUGAAUGGAAGAUCUUGCUCUCUGGUGCUCAGGCGGAGCUACUCCGAGGCUUCAUCAGGCAGUUGGACAAGCGGCACGGGGAUCUCCUUCGUAUUGCUUGGAGAUGAACAUGGAGGGGCAGGAUUAGGAUUUUAUCUAGCCUUUCUCAAGAGGAGUGCUUUUAAAAAACCCAGAAUUGUUGGUCAUUUUGGCCUGUAAUAAUUUCUAGCGUACUUAUGUUGCUUACGGAGGUUUUAGGCUGCUGGUAGUUUGAUCUUCUUUUGCUUUUGUUCCGGAUCUAUGCUUGCUUCAUAUCUAAUAAAAUGGAGCAGGGGGGAAAUCCCUUUCGUUCAAAAAAA
rnacentral:lncRNA from 1 species